rnacentral:rRNA from 1 species
UGCAGUCGAACGGUAACGCGGGGCAACCUGGCGACGAGUGGCGAACGGGUGAGUAAUGUAUCGGAACGUGCCCAGUUGUGGGGGAUAACUGCUCGAAAGAGCAGCUAAUACCGCAUACGACCUGAGGGUGAAAGCGGGGGAUCGCAAGACCUCGCGCAAUUGGAGCGGCCGAUAUCAGAUUAGGUAGUUGGUGGGGUAAAGGCCCACCAAGCCAACGAUCUGUAGCUGGUCUGAGAGGACGACCAGCCACACUGGGACUGAGACACGGCCCAGACUCCUACGGGAGGCAGCAGUGGGGAAUUUUGGACAAUUGGCGCAAGCCUGAUCCAGCCAUGCCGCGUGCGGGAAGAAGGCCUUCGGGUUGUAAACCGCUUUUGUCAGGGAAGAAACGAGUUUCUCUAAUACAGAGACUUAAUGACGGUACCUGAAGAAUAAGCACCGGCUAACUACGUGCCAGCAGCCGCGGUAAUACGUAGGGUGCAAGCGUUAAUCGGAAUUACUGGGCGUAAAGCGUGCGCAGGCGGUUAUGCAAGACAGAGGUGAAAUCCCCGGGCUCAACCUGGGAACUGCCUUUGUGACUGCAUAGCUAGAGUACGGUAGAGGGGGAUGGAAUUCCGCGUGUAGCAGUGAAAUGCGUAGAUAUGCGGAGGAACACCGAUGGCGAANGCAAUCCCCUGNACCUGUACUGACGCUCAUGCACGAAAGCGUGGGGAGCAAACANGAUUAGAUACCCUGNUAGUCCACGCCCUAAACGAUGUCAACUGGNNGUUGGGAGGGUUUCUUCUCAGUAACGUAGCUAACGCGUGAAGUUGACCGCCUGGGGAGUACGGNCCGCAAGGUUGAAACUCNAAGNANUUGACGGGGACCCGCACNAGCGGUGGNUGAUG